GGGCCCGCACAAGCGGUGGAGCAUGUGGUUUAAUUCGAUGAUACGCGAGGAACCUUACCAGGGCUUAAAUGUAAGUUGCAUAGAUCAGAGAUGGUCUUUUCUUCGGACUACUUACAAGGUGCUGCAUGGUUGUCGUCAGCUCGUGCCGUGAGGUGUCAGGUUAAGUCCUAUAACGAGCGCAACCCCUACCGUUAGUUGCCAGCGUGUAAUGACGGGGACUCUAACAAGACUGCCGGUGCAAACCGCGAGGAAGGUGGGGAUGACGUCAAAUCAUCACGGCCCUUACGUCCUGGCUACACACGUGCUACAAUGGCCGGUACAGAGAGCAGCCACUACGCGAGUAGGAGCG
rnacentral:rRNA from 1 species